rnacentral:rRNA from 1 species
AUACGGAGGGUGCGAGCGUUAAUCAGAAUUACUGGGCGUAAAGCGUACGUAGGCGGUUGGUUAAGUUAGAUGUGAAAGCCCCGGGCUUAACCUGGGGACUGCAUUUAAAACUGGCGAACUAGAGUUGAGUAGAGGGGAGUGGAAUUUCAGGUGUAGCGGUGAAAUGCGUAGAGAUCUGAAGGAACACCAGUGGCGAAGGCGACUCCCUGGACUCGAACUGACGCUGAGGUACGAAAGCGUGGGUAGCAAACGGGAUUAGAUACCCUAGUAGUCC